rnacentral:lncRNA from 1 species
AGAUCUAUAUGUAAUAUAAAAAAUUAUAUGGGGUUAAAUAUAAUUUUUACAAUAUAUUAAUAUUUUUUAAGGGAUAAUAUAUAAAUUUCACAAAUCUUCUCCCCUCACGUUUCAUAAAUCUUCUCCUCCGCCAAAUCCCUAAUCUUCUCCGGCCUCCGAGAAUCUCUUCUUAGAUUCUUCACUGUUGUUGCUGCCUUGCUGGAAAUCUCUUCUCCAGUUAUCUCUCCGUUGCUACUUGCUAGAUUCUCUCAUUUCUCUGGUAUUAAUUUGUUGAAUUGUUGAUCUUGUUUGUUGUUUCUACAUAUUGCUUGGGUCUGAUGGAUAUGAUACGGAUGGUGAUGGUCUGAUGGAUUUUAUUGAUGUUUGACUUAGUUAGUUGAUUAGUCCUCAUAUGAAAUUAGGUUCUCCGGUCUGCAUAUAAAGUCAGAACUCAUAUGUUAUUGUUCUGUUUUUGAAAAAGAAAAGCACAUUAAGAGAUUUUCUUUUCAUCUUCGCACAUAUAUUCAAGUUUGGGAAUGUUGAAAAUUGACGGCGGUAUUGUUCCUGAUAGAUUGUCGAAACUCAAAUCCUUAAAAAAUUCCAAAGAUGUGAAUUUAAUGAUUUUAUAUUGAUGAAAUGUGUUGUUAAACAAAUGGAGAGUAUAAAAAAAUAAAACUUACAGAUAUGCUAAAUUUUCAAAUUCCCCAAUGCUGGAUCCUGGAUGGAAUCGUACCAGCUAUUCUAGUGUUUUUUAAAAUCCUAUUAUCAUUCAAAUUAGGGGUGAGAACUGAACGGGUUGCUAGUGGGGCCGUCCGCCCCGGUAUUCGUCUUGGUCCUAAAAACAAGACACGGGACGGGUCAGGUACUCUGACUCCCUGAUCUACCCCUGCUCCUAAUGAAGUAAUAAAAAAAUAAAAUUUAUAUUAUAAAUUAUACAUUAUUAGUAUUAUAGUAUUAUAUUAAUAUAUUUAUUUAUAUCUAAAAAACGGAGCUUGUCUCAAGACCCGCCUCGGAAUAUAACCGGUUACCACCGGCUCCGUUACCACCCUUAAUUCAAACACAGCUAAAAUAUAAUUUUUUAAUCCUUCCAUAUUAAAAAAUUGAAACAGUAUUUGUAUUUCUCUUCUAGAUUUCUACCUUUGUCUAGAAUUAAAAUAAUUUCCCCACCCCAAUUGAAAUAAUAAGAAAAAAUAUAAG